rnacentral:rRNA from 1 species
GACGAACGCUGGCGGCGUGCCUAAUACAUGCAAGUAGGACGCAGUUGCGAACGGGUGAGUAACGCGUAGGUAACUGCCUAUCAGAGGGGGAUAACUACUGGAAACGAUAGCUAAUACCGCAUACUAGUAGAUGGACCUGCGUUGUAUUAGCUAGUAGGUAGGGUAAUGGCCUCCCUAGGCAACGAUACAUAGCCGAGAUGGGAAGGAGAACGACCACAAUGGGAAUGAGAAACAGCCAAAAGUGCUACAGGAAACGGCAGUGAGGAAUCUUCAGCAAUGGGGGGAACACUGGCCGAGAAACGCCGCGUGAGAGAAGAGAGAUGUCGGAUAGUAAAAAUCAGUUGUUAAGGAGGCGGUACUUAACAAGAAAGGGACGGCUAACUACGUGCCAGCAGCCGCGGUAAUUC